UUGGUGGCGACCGGCGCACGGGUGAGUAACGCGUAUGCAACCCACUUAUCAGAGGGGGAUAACCCGGCGAAAGUCGGACUAAUACCUCAUAAAACAGGGGCACCGCAUGGUGCUAUUUGUUAAAAAUUUAUUGCUGAUAGAUGGGCAUGCGUUCCAUUACCGUAGUUGGAGAGGUAACGGCUCACCAAGCCUACGAUGGAUAGGGGAACUGAGAGGUUGGUCCCCCACACUGGUACUGAGACACGGACCAGACUCCUACGGGAGGCAGCAGUGAGGAAUAUUGGUCAAUGGGCGAGAGCCUGAACCAGCCAAGUCGCGUGAAGGAAGAAGGAUCUAUGGUUCGUAAACUUCUUUUGCAGGGGAAUAAAGUGCAGGACGUGUCCUGUUUUGUAUGUACCCUGAGAAUAAGGAUCGGCUAACUCCGUGCCAGCAGCCGCGGUAAUACGGAGGAUCCGAGCGUUAUCCGGAUUUAUUGGGUUUAAAGGGUGCGUAGGUGGUUUAAUAAGUCAGCGGUGAAAGUUUGCAGCUUAACUGUAAAAAUGCCGUUGAAACUGUUAGACUUGAGUGUAAAUGAGGUAGGCGGAAUGCGUGGUGUAGCGGUGAAAUGCUUAGAUAUCACGAAGAACUCCGAUUG
rnacentral:rRNA from 1 species